CCAGUUCUCUUCUUCUUCACAUAGAAACUGCUCCACUUAUUUUCUCUUUUCUCUUGCUCUUUCAGAAAAACCUAUCCUUCUCUCAUCCCUUCAUAACUUCAAGACAUGUGAUUAGGAAGGAAACAAGAAAGAGCUCUAGGACAAGAGCAAAGGGAUGAAUUAGUUAGUAUCCCUGAGCUAUCUUAAGGAGCUGAGCCAGGAGACUUUGCUUUGCUAGCUGUUUUUGCUAUGAUCCAGCUUUUUUUGACAUCUUUGUUAUGUUACUUGCAAAACUACUUUGUUGAGGGUGUAAAUAUGAGGUGGUUUGGUACUCUACUUAUGGUGUUUGUGUUAGGGGACUGCAAGUCCUUUUGUGUACUUGUAGCUUAGAAUAUUUUAAGUCUGUAAAUUACAACUUACUAAGUUGUUCUUGCUUGGUGUGA